rnacentral:rRNA from 1 species
GACGAACGCUGGCGGCGUGCUUAACACAUGCAAGUCGAACGGAAAGGCCCUGCUUUGGUGGGGUGCUCGAGUGGCGAACGGGUGAGUAACACGUGUGUAACCUGCCCUUGACUUUGGGAUAACUUCAGGAAACUGGGGCUAAUACCGGAUAGGAGCUCCUGCUGCAUGGUGGGGGUGGGAAAGUUUCGGCGGUUGGGGAUGGACUCGCGGCUUAUCAGCUUGUUGGUGGGGUAGUGGCUUACCAAGGCUUUGACGGGUAGCCGGCCUGAGAGGGUGACCGGCCACAUUGGGACUGAGAUACGGCCCAGACUCCUACGGGAGGCAGCAGUGGGGAAUAUUGCACAAUGGGCGGAAGCCUGAUGCAGCAACGCCGCGUGCGGGAUGACGGCCUUCGGGUUGUAAACCGCUUUCGCCUGUGACGAAGCGUGAGUGACGGUAAUGGGUAAAGAAGCACCGGCUAACUACGUG